AGUAUGAAAGGGAAUGAAGUUCUCCCUUGGGUAACCUAAACCGUUUAUUAAGCUGAUGACUUCUACAAUUAC
rfam:Clostridiales bacterium S5-A11 contig009, whole genome shotgun sequence.